rnacentral:rRNA from 1 species
UGGCUCAGAAGAAACGCUGGCGGCGUGCUCAAUACAUGCAAGUCGAGCGAAUUAAUAGGAGCUUGCUCCUGUUGGUUAGCGGCGGACGGGUGAGUAACACGUGGGCAACCUGCCUGUAAGACUGGGAUAACACCGGGAAACCGGUGCUAAUACCGGAUAAUUCUUCACCUCUCAUGAGGUGAAGCUGAAAGUCGGUUUCGGCUGACACUUACAGAUGGGCCCGCGGCGCAUUAGCUAGUUGGUGAGGUAACGGCUCACCAAGGCGACGAUGCGUAGCCGACCUGAGAGGGUGAUCGGCCACACUGGGACUGAGACACGGCCCAGACUCCUACGGGAGGCAGCAGUGGG